rnacentral:rRNA from 1 species
CGCGUAGGCGGCGCGGGAAGUCAACGGUGAAAGCUUGGGGCUCAACUCCGAGUCUGCCGUCGAUACUCCCGUGCUCGAGCACUGUAGAGGCAGAUGGAAUUCCGGGUGUAGCGGUGGAAUGCGUAGAGAUCCGGAAGAACACCGGUGGCGAAGGCGGUCUGCUGGGCAGUUGCUGACGCUGAUGCGCGACAGCGUGGGGAGCAAACAGGAUUAGAUACCCUGGUAGUCCACGCCGUAAACGAUGGGCACUAGGUGCUUGGGGGAGCGACCCCCUGAGUGCCGGCGCUAACGCAUUAAGUGCCCCGCCUGGGGAGUACGGCCGCAAGGCUGAA